rnacentral:rRNA from 1 species
CACGUAGGGGGCAAGCGUUGUCCGGAUUUAUUGGGCGUAAAGAGCUCGUAGGCGGUUCGGUAAGUCGGGUGUGAAACCUCCAGGCUCAACCUGGAGAGGCCACCUGAUACUGCUGUGACUCGAGUCCGGUAGGGGAGCGUGGAAUUCCUGGUGUAGCGGUGAAAUGCGCAGAUAUCAGGAGGAACACCAGCGGCGAAGGCGGCGCUCUGGGCCGGAACUGACGCUGAGGGGCGAAAGCGUGGGUAGCAAACAGG